AUUGAACGCUGGCGGCAGGCCUAACACAUGCAAGUCGAGCGGAUGAAGGGAGCUUGCUCCUGGAUUCAGCGGCGGACGGGUGAGUAAUGCCUAGGAAUCUGCCUGGUAGUGGGGGAUAACGUCCGGAAACGGGCGCUAAUACCGCAUACGUCCUGAGGGAGAAAGUGGGGGAUCUUCGGACCUCACGCUAUCAGAUGAGCCUAGGUCGGAUUAGCUAGUUGGUGGGGUAAAGGCCUACCAAGGCGACGAUCCGUAACUGGUCUGAGAGGAUGAUCAGUCACACUGGAACUGAGACACGGUCCAGACUCCUACGGGAGGCAGCAGUGGGGAAUAUUGGACAAUGGGCGAAAGCCUGAUCCAGCCAUGCUGCGUGUGUGAAGAAGGUCUUCGGAUUGUAAAGCACUUUAAGUUGGGAGGAAGGGCAGUAAGUUAUUACCUUGCUGUUUUGACGUUACCAACAGAAUAAGCACCGGCUAACUUCGUG
rnacentral:rRNA from 1 species